rnacentral:rRNA from 1 species
CCUUUCGAAAGAAAGAUUAAUAUCCGAUAGUAUAUUAAAACCGCAUGGUUUUACUAUUAAAGAAUUUCGGUUAUCGAUGGGGAUGCGUUCCAUUAGUUGUUUGGCGGGGUAACGGCCCACCAAGACUACGAUGGAUAGGGGUUCUGAGAGGAAGGUCCCCCACAUUGGAACUGAGACACGGUCCAAACUCCUACGGGAGGCAGCAGUGAGGAAUAUUGGUCAAUGGACGAGAGUCUGAACCAGCCAAGUAGCGUGAAGGAUGACUGCCCUAUGGGUUGUAAACUUCUUUUAUAUGGGAAUAAAGUAUUCCACGUGUGGGAUUUUGUAUGUACCAUAUGAAUAAGGAUCGGCUAACUCCGUGCCAGCAGCCGCGGUAAUACGGAGGAUCCGAGCGUUAUCCGGAUUUAUUGGGUUUAAAGGGAGCGUAGGUGGAUUGUUAAGUCAGUUGUGAAAGUUUGCGGCUCAACCGUAAAAUUGCAGUUGAAACUGGCAGUCUUGAGUACAGUAGAGGUGGGCGGAAUUCGUGGUGUAGCGGUGAAAUGCUUAGAUAUCACGAAGAACUCCGAUUGCGAAGGCAGCUCACUAGACUGCAACUGACACUGAUGCUCGAAAGUGUGGGUAUCAAACAGGAUUAGAUACCCUGGUAGUCCACACAGUAAACGAUGAAUACUCGCUGUUUGCGAUAUACAGUAAGCGGCCAAGCGAAAGCAUUAAGUAUUCCACCUGGGGAGUA